AAUCCUGUCUGUGUGAAGCAUUGCAAGCGCUGUGUGUUCACAGCUGUGUGUUGUGCCAUCAGCUCUGCCCAUGGAUUUCCAUGGGUUUCUCAGGCGCUUCCUGGUAAGAUGUGUGAUCCAUCUGUAGGCACCUCACACUCCCUCCUUGGCAUCUUUGUCACCAGUGUUGUUGCUGCAGCUUCUCUGAGAGCCGUUGGGAACAGAACGAACACACUGUGACUGGGUGGUGACACAAGGAACACACUUGAUCUUCCUUCCCUCAUCACUCCAUGUCCUUUGUCCAACCUUCCAGCUGCUGGGAAGGUCCUUGUGACUUGCCUAAAGUGAUAAGUUCCUUAAAGCUGUAAACAGAGCAGAAUCCACACCACUGAAGCCAUGCAGCCCUGGAUUAAUAUACAGAGCAGUUUGUCUUCUUGCUUUCUAUUUUUGUAUAAGAUGUUAAGGAGUUUAAGCCUUCCACAGAGAAGACGUAGGGCUGGUGGGAUAUUUAAUAACUGAAACAUUAACUAUCAGGCAGGCAACGGCAGGAGAGUGAUUUAAUGGAGUGUUAAGCACUAGGCAAGGUACGAGUUUAAUUUAUUAAACCACAUUUUUACUCUGAUAACCAGGAUAUUCACCAAAGAGUCACAUUCCUGUAUCCUACUGCGCAUCCGGCAUCAGUGCAACAUCUUGAAUUGUAAGUGGCAUGUCCUGCACUGACACAGCUCGCCUUCUAGGCAAAGUAAAUUGGUCACUGACAACUGGAGCAGAGGAUCUGUAGCUGAACUGGUUUGUUCCUGGCUCUCCAGUGACCUGAGCCCUUCCUUGCUCUGCUUUCCCCUCUGUGAUGCCCAGCAAAGUGGGUGAGUGUAGUUCCACCUUGUUCUUGUUCCUACCAAGCAGGUUCUGCCAGAUUUUCUGGUUUACCUCCAUCCUUUGGGAAACUGGGUUGGGGGACAGCAGACUGCCUCCAGCAAUAGACCAAAAUAUUUCAUCUCUUUUACUAUAUAUAGAUAGAGGUUGAAGAGAAUUGGUGAAACAAGCAAUGAGAUCCCAGUCACUGAAAUGAUUCAAACAGAAGAGACAUCUUUAAUCCUAGGGGCUUCCAAGCCAGCUGGACCAAAGAUGAAAAUGAGUACUUGGAUGUUGUUCAGUGGCAGCAAGAGUAGUGCGUUCAGCAGGGAGGAAGGAGGAGCCCUUUUAGGGAGAGAAGGAGGAGGAAUGUGCUUCUUGUGCCUUUUUUUGUAAUCCAGUAAUUGUCUUUGCAGAGCAAGCAGGAAUGUGCACACAUCUAUUGCUGCCUCCCUUCCCAAAUAUAGCUGGUUUCUAAUCAAAUCAAGCAACUUCGCAAUAACACACGGGCAGAAAGAUUUCCAGUGUCUUUCUGGACACAUUUAAAGUUCCCUAAUCCUUACCAGCCAGACAAACAGCUCAUCUUCAAGCCCCAGAACUUGGGAAUUUGCUGGUUGCUGAUGCCGUUCCGCUCACUUUGACGUGGGGCUCGGUGACUUCUUUCUGCUGCCAGACUCUGCCUGGACAAGCUCUGCCUUUCCCCAGUGCUGUGGGAGGCCUGUGUCGAGGUGAGGGGUCUGCAGAUGCCUUUGAUUGCCUGAUGCCUUCUUGUCUAAUGCACUUUGAAGCAGAAAGGCAAAAGCUGCAACUCUGCGGUGAGCGGCCCUGGAGCUGGUUAAUGCCACCAGGGUUUUGGAGGCUUUCCUUGUGUGCUGAGUGUCAGCAGAAGCCAGCUGUUGGCCUGACUGAACCCACAAGUCACUUAGAAAUAGAAGUCUGUUACUUAGAAGCAACCCAGAGCAGUGACAACUUCCCAUGGGCCGGCAGUGCAGAUGGGAAUUGUCAGUUCUCCAUUAAAAUGGGUCUUACUUCUUGCUUUCAUUCCCGUGGCCCUGAUUUUGACAUCCAGAGCCAUCAUGUUUUUCUCCUGUUCACUUUGCUAGAAAGUCCUGUUAAAAUCCUUCUGUUCCAUCACCAGUGAUCAUCCUGGUAAUACAGUAGCAGCAAAUUUCUGCUCUGGGUAAUGAAUCCCAUUAAAGUUAGAUGGAAACAUUUGGCAAUGCUGAUGGCAAAACUCCACAACCAAGGGGAACCCCCCCCCCCAACAUUGAGCCCAGGGGAUAAGCUCGUUCAGCUGUGGAAGAUUUCCUGCCUGCUACUUUCCUGCCCUGCUUAGGGAUUUACAGCACAGCAAGCUUUAAAGCUUUUGACAUCCUCUCCAUCAUGCUUAGGUUUGAAAUUCCUGGUACUUGAACUGGAACCCGUUGUCUCAGUUCAGCCUCUGAAAUGGCUUUUUGCCUGUUUUCAACCAGUUCCUUGAGCUCUGUGUCACACUGGCCCUGACCUUGCGCUCCACUGAUGCUUUCUUCUGGAAAUGUGAAUAAAACUAAUACAAGUUCAAACCUGACUCGUUCUUUCCAUGUUUGGGUCUGAGCCCGUGCUGGCAGGGAGGCUGGGCUGGCUCCAGGGCAGGCUGCCCAUCACUGAGAUUUAGCCCCUCUUUCUCCUCCCCCUACACCUGCCAGUGGGAAUGCAGGCAGCAGUUUCCCCUUAGAGAAUCGUAGAGUGGUUUGGGGUGGAAAAGACCUUAAGAUCACCCAGUUCCAACCCCCUGCCCUGGAUCAAGCUGCUCUAGUGGAAGAUGUCCUUGCCCAUGGCAGGGGGUUGGAACUGAAUGAGUUUUAAGGUCCCUUCCAACCCAAACCAGGCUGGGAUUCUGUUUAUCUUCCUUAAUGCCCUAUUGGACUUUUUCACUGAGUGCCCCACAGCAAUUUGAAUUAACUCUCCUGGGCAUUUGCUCCUGCUGUAGCUGUAAUCAGCUGACACAUUGCAAACCUCUGUGCAAUGAGCUUUCCGCUGGGAUUUUCCCCCAAACCAGGUGCCAGAAGUUUUCCUCCCAACACCUUCUCAGAGGUGUUUCACCUGAUCAGAGCCCAGGGGCUGGGGCUGCACCUUCAGCACACCCCUGAGCCGAGGGCAGGAAGGAGCCAGCACACAGACUCACUGGAGCAGCCCUUGAGGAACUAACACUGGGGAGCUGGCACCCAGCCACGGCUCCUGACCCAUCCCAUCACCAGGCUUUACCCCAUCGAGGACGGCGAUCCCCAGCUCGGUGUCGAGCGCCCUCGGACCCGAAGAGGGCUCAAGCAGCGAGGACGUGGCGGCACAGCCCGGUCCUGCGAGCGUGAUGGGAUGCUGCCGAGCAUCACCACGAGGAGCAAGGUCCCACCUCCCCAUCUGA